GUCAAAGCCUAACGGCUGAACCAGCAACUUGGAGGAAUGUAUAGCGAUAGCUAAUUGUAUCCAGACAUAAUGGAUACAAUAUUGACUUUGUCAAAUAAAAUUCUAGGCAGAAUUAUGAUAAUGACAUUGUCUGCCUAUGUGUCUUGACCAAAUUACGUGCCAGCAGUCGCGGUAAUACGUAGAAGACUAGUGUUAUUCAUCUUUAAUAGGUUUAAAGGGUACCUAGACGGUAAAUCAAGCCUAAAAAGGGGGACUAAUUUACUAGAGUUACUUGUGAGGGGGCACUAAAGUACUGAUGGUGUAGAGAUAAAAUUCUGUAAUACCUUUUUCGUAAAGAAAACAAUGGCACAGGUAUAGGCGAAAGCAUCCCCUUAUGUGAUAACUGACGUUGAAGGACGAAGGCUUUGUGUAGCGAACAGGAUUAGAUACCCUAGUAGUCGAAGCAGAAAAUGAUGAAUGUCAUAGAUUAGACAUCUAAGUUUAUUCUAUAAAUGAAAGUGUAAGCAUUCCACCUCAAGAGUAAUUUGGCAACAUUGGAACUGAAAUCAUUAGACCGUUUCUGAAACCAGUAGUGAAGUAUGUUGUUUAAUUUGAUGAUCCGCAAAAAACCUUACCACAACUUGAAUAUUUAUAUCUAUCUCUUUUCAUUAAUCUAUUUUUAUCUUUUUUUUAAUAAAAAAGAUAGAAUCUUUUAAAGAAAAGACUAAUGAUAUUUUUACAAGCGUUGCACGGCUGUCUUCAGUUAAUGUCGCGAGACUUUGGUUAGUUCCAUUAAAUUAACGCAAACCCUUACUUUAUUUUUACAUAAAGUAGUUCCCCACUAUAUUGGAUAAGAUAACAGGGACUAAGACAAGUCAUCAUGGCCUUAAUGUUGUGGGCUAUAGACGUGCCACAUAAACCUUACAAAAGGAUGUGAAAUUGUGAAAUUGAAC
rnacentral:rRNA from 1 species